AAAAAAGUAAAAGCAAAAUAAGGAAGAACAAAAACAGAGACAACAACAACAACAAAAACAAAAACAAAAAAAGAGAGGGGACAAGGGGAAAAAAGAGACAGAAAGAGAGAGAGAGAGACAGAAAAGACGGGACAGAAAGCUAGCGCCCGUUAUCAUAACGGGCUUAAAAAUACUAUUGGGCAUUGGGCUGAGGAAGGAUGUGUCCAGCCAGGAAUUCAUCAGGUGCAGCUUCUGCAACCACUUGCUAGAGAUGCCCCUGACAAAUUUCUGCCAGAUGAAUCUCUUCCCAAAAUGCUCUCCCAAAAUACCACCUAUCACAACGGUGAGCCCUUGAGAACAGGGAACCCUUUUCCUAUGCAAACCGGUUUGAGAACGUCUUGUUGGGAAGUGGUAUACAAACAACAGUAAUAGUUUUUAAAGCUAACUUUCCUAUUAAACUGGGCUUUUAUUCUUUA